GGCGUCUGCUCCCCUAACACUUUGUAAACGCUAACUGCGUGACGAGUACACAAAUACGUGCUUAUUGAACGAAUGAAACCUUACAGCUUACGGGAAAGAGGCCUCUCGGCGACCUGCCACAGAAAGAGAGGGAGCACAAGCAGGCGGAGCAGGAGAGGGAGAAGCAGACUCCCUGCUGAGCAGGGAGCCUGAUGCAGGACUCGAUCCCAGGAUCCUGAGAUUGUGACCAAAGGCAGACGCUCAACCAACUGAGCCACCCAGGCGCCCUGAAUUGGAAGCAUUAUAGUUACAUAUGAAAAUGGUCCUUCCUGUUGCGGGGGUGGAGUGUGGAUCUGCGAGUGCACAAGGAUCGCCUUGGGGAUGCUGGUGUCUAUGCUGUCCUUCUGAGGGCCAUUUUUACAGAUUUCCAGUGUCAACAUCAAGCCCAACACACACUUGAUUGUUUUGCCCUCUUUCUGGCACUGUCGCUUUGCCGUGAUGAAGACAUUUUUCUGAUGACGAACUCUGCACUGCCUCUAGAGUUCUACCAUGUUUACCCCUAACGGCUCAAGAUUCCACGUCUCUAGUGUCUGCCGGCGGUGGAGAGGCCACCUGUCUGGGCUCGGUGCAGACCUGUAGUUACAUCGGAGUCUUAUCCUGAAAAAUGAGGCAAGUCUAAUAUCUCAUUUCUCGAUUAACUUUUCUGAGAAAAUAAGUAGCAGACAAGUUCUUGUAUUGGAGCGCAUUGUGUCUUAGCACCGGCGUCGUGGGUGCGCUCUGGCGGUCAACGAGCGAGCGUCGGUUUGUGCUGUGGAGAGCGGCACCGCAGCUGCCGCGGAGCCCCGUGCAGCUUUUAUCGACCUGUUUCUGGCAUACGGAUGCCCAGACAGGAACUGUCUAUGUGCGAGAUUUUAUGACCUCGGUAUAGAUCCAAAGCUUUUAAUGCACCUUUUGCCUUUAUCAUAAUGUCACUGAGAAAAUCGGAGUGGGCUGGAAUGGCCUUCUGACAUCAAGUCCAUGUUUAGUGAUGUGGCUCUUCCUUACACAGCCCUCACCUGUGAAGGUUUUAGAGCAGUUCUUAGUCUGUCUGGUCACGCGGCCUCUGAAAUUAAAUAAACAGCUAACGUAGAGCUACCUUUGUGUCCCCCAUGGGCCUCGGGACACAACUAAAUCUGCUGCUCAGCUAUGGUCAAGAAACAGCAGAACAGCAUCAUGCCAACAUCCACACAGCCGUUCUUGUCGGACUGACUCCGGCAUCUGACUCGA